GACGAACGCUGGCGGCGUGCUUAACACAUGCAAGUCGAACGAUGAAGUUCGGACGGAGGCUUCGGCCAACUGAAGAACGGAUUAGUGGCGGACGGGUGAGUAACGCGUGAGUAACCUGCCUUUCAGAGGGGAAUAACAUUUGGAAACGAAUGGUAAUACCGCAUAAAGUCACGGAACCGCAUGAUUCUGUGACCAAAGGAGCAAAUCCGCUGAAAGAUGGACUCGCGUCCGAUUAGCUAGUUGGAGAGGUAAACGGCUCCCCAAAGGCGACGAUCGGUAGCCGGACUGAGAGGUUGAACGGCCACAAUUGGGACUGAGACACGGCCCAG
rnacentral:rRNA from 1 species